AUCUAGUUGAUGAGUCUCAAAAAUAAGACGAAACUCUUGUCCUGGAU
rnacentral:hammerhead_ribozyme from 1 species